rnacentral:rRNA from 1 species
CAGCCGCCGCGGUAAUACGUAGGGUGCGAGCGUUAAUCGGAUUUACUGGGCGUAAAGCGUGCGCAGGCGGCCCGUUAAGACAGGUGUGAAAUCCCUGGGCUCAACCUAGGAAUUGCGCUUGUGACUGGCGGGCUCGAGUACGGUAGAGGGGGGUGGAAUUCCUGGUGUAGCAGUGAAAUGCGUAGAGAUCAGGAGGAACACCGAUGGCGAAGGCAGCCCCCUGGGCCUGUACUGACGCUCAUGCACGAAAGCGUGGGGAGCAAACAGGAUUAGAUACCCUGGUAGUCCACGCCCUAAACGAUGGGUACUAGCCGUUUGGUGCGCGAGAGCGCUGAGUGGCGAAGCUAACGCGUGAAGUCCCCCGCCUGGGGAGUACGGCCGCAAGGUUGAAACUUAAAGGAAUUGGCGGG